GCAUUUGAAAAUGCUCUCCAGCUCUUGCCCUGUCAAGAAUGGAUUAGAGGGAAACAAUACUGGGUGCAAGGAGAAUGUCAAGGUACAUUUUCUUAUUUUAAAAAAUAGGAAAUGUCAUCCUUUGCUGUGCUUGUUACCCUUGAAUGAGAAGUGCUCAACUUCAAAAUGGAUCAUUCACUGAUACCAUGAUGACCAAUUAACAUCACUGGCCACCAAAGAGCUGUGGAAGAAAUCUCACUGCAGAGCUGACUUCUAUCCCUCCCGACGGUACAUGACCCUCCUUUAUUUCGACUCAGCUGUCACCUAAGCCUGUCAGGGAUCCAACAGCAUAUACCGGUCACAGCGCAUUGUUGAAUAAUACUCCUCAGGAAGUGUGCAGAUCCACCUUUUCCUUCAUCAUUUCAGACAGAAAACAGCAAAGUUCGUCUUAUUGAGGCAUCCAGUAAAGCUCCACAGAGAAAUCAUUCCCUCGUGUCUCUUCUGCACUCGGCCUUGGCAGGAUAAGAUGAAGAGGACGCAGUCCCUACCUCAGGCCUCCUCUCUUAGACCCUGGCCCAGCCUCCUCCACCAGGCUGUCCUCCAUCCUUCUCCUCAGGCCCCACCAGCUGCUGCUUGCUACAGCAUUCUCUUCAGGGAAGUCCUGAGGAUGCUGCCAGAAGAUACUGAACACCAAGGAGGGGACUCACUCACUGCCAACCACGACUUCCACAGAAAGCUUGGGAAUUGGGGAAUGGCAUGAUCAAAGCCUUGCUUUAUUAUGCAGAGCAAAUUUUUUUUUUUUGAGGGAGCAUUUGUGUGGAGAAUAGUGAGGAAGGGAACUAAGUGAUGAGAGCCUAAGUCAGAGCAAUGGCAGAAGAAAUUGAACAUAAUAGAACGGUUUAUGUUUGGUACCACACUUUGAAGGGUAAUGUAUGUUAUUUGUUCUUUAUCAUAGUCAACAACAAAUCUAGAUUUGCUUUAUGCACAGGAAGUAUUUAAUAUUAGUUAGGUUUAAUUUGAUUCAAUGCAUUUUAAGUUAACCAAUGAGCCCUAUUGAACUCAUAAGGAAACUAAAGCCGAGUAAGGUUAACUGACUUGCCCACAGUUAAAGGGUUGGAAAGUUUUGGAGCCAAGGGUGAAACCCAGGUCUCCUUAAUUCAAAAUCCAAGGCUUCAAUCAUGACACCAGUUGCCACAAAUCUGUGGCAUAUAUGGUGAUUCUAUUUCUUUGCCACCACAGACAUUGCUAAUCGAUUUCCUACGCAAGCUUGGAUAUGGCCUCAGAAUCCUUCCAAACACAGGGCUCCAGAGACCCACCUCAAAUCAACUUUUCUGUAUCCUGGCAGGAUAGCAUGCUCUCUCUCCAAGAUAAAGGAAGGAAAAUGGUAGAGGUGAUUUGCGGGCAGAAGCAUUAUCACUUGGCAGCUGUGGGCGUAGAUUGUGAGAAAGAGAAAAGGGUAGGCAUCAGGAAUGAUGAAGGAUGUAAGCCUGGGGGAUGAGGGGGAUGGUGACACUAAUUAACAGAAUAAUGGAACUGGAACAGAAGCAGAGCUGUAACAUGGUGAAUGUGGUCUUGAGGUGUUGUCCAGUUCUUAAGGCGGUGGGGGGUGCUGUGACAAUGACAGGUGAAGGCUGCUGCUUAUGGAAAGACACAGGCAGGGCCUCCUAACACUUCUAGCAAUUUCAGCCCCCGAAACAGUGACAACUGUGGAUCCUAAAGGCAUAUGUCCAAAAGAUGCUGGCCAAACAUUUCAGAAAAGAUGAAAUAAGGAGGUCUCAAAGUCCUGCUUUUCAAGACACUGCUAGGAAUCUUUUUGCAAAGCAAGAAAAUUCUUUUAUCAUUCAAACAAUUAAAUAAUAAUUAAAAUAAUUAAAUAUAAAUAAUUAAAAUUAAAAUUUUCAUACACCAGGUUUCAUUUCAGUGGGAAGAAUGGGGCAGGGAAAGAAAAUGGCUCUUCAGCAGCCUUCUCAGUGACAAUUAUAAACAAUUUCUGUAAAACUUCACACCCUAAAUGAAGCACCAAACCUGAAGUGCUUAAUCAAAACAAGAUGUUUUGAUUGAAAGAAAGCUUUGAUGAGUUGCUUCUAUCAAUUGCCCUUCAGCAUAAGAUUAGAAAUGCAAAGGCUUCUAUCAUCCCCAUGAUGUUCUUUAAACUUCAUUAUGUCAGGCACACAUGGCAAAUUAAACAGAAUGCUACAGAAAGUGUCUGGCCAUAAGAGGAGGCAGAGGCACUGCUUACAGAAACCUUGCUAGACAACUAAUUGAACAGUUUUCUAACCUCAGAACAGACGUGCUUUCUAUUAUUUAGCAUUUAAUAUGCUUCCUCUCUCUCUCUCAUUUCUUUUUACCUUUAGCUUGUUUCUUCCUAUUUCAUUGCCAUCUACUUUAUAAAUGUCUUGAUCAAAUUAUAAAGUUAUAACAUUAUACAGAUUCUAUUUGGUCCCAUAUGGCUAAUGUCAACCAGAGAGCCUUUAAUAUUUUCUAAGGAACAGGAUAUCAUAUUUAAUGCCCUCAAAACUAAUUUCAAGCUAAAAAAUGUUGAAGGCUAUACAUACACACACACACACACACGAAUGUUCUACAACAAGACUAUCCACCCCCUCCAAAGUCAAGCUUUGAUAUAUGCCCUAACAAAAUAAAAAAAAAAUUCAAAUAUGCUUUACAACAAACUACUAAAAACCACAGACCAACAUAAUUUCUUUAGAAGCAUAAAGUCACUUGUGAUCCAUAUGCCAAAAGCAUAACAAAAUGCAAAAAAAGCCCUUAAGUUCAUUGAUUGACCUAACAAUAUCAAUUUUUCUCUACACUUCAGUGAAUUAUAUACAUGAAAGAAUAUUUCGAUCUUAGGAAUUCUUCAUCUGGUUAGUUUUGUUUCCAGUGAAGCAAACAUCAAACAGGGUCUUAUAUGUUUAUGGAUAGGUACAAAUCCAUGGAAAAGAUUCCAAUUACUUUUUUUUUUUUAAAGUUUAAAGCUGUGUGUUAUGUGCAGAGGGGGUAGUACAAAGAGCUAUGGAUAUUCUAAACCAAAUAUUAAAACAGCAUUUCAAGCAGCUCAAAGUAUCAUACAACAUUUUCAGUAGUAAGGAAAUUUCACUCAGCAGCAAUAUUUUUAAUAGAAAAACUUUUUUGUUUUUGAGACAGAGUCUGACUUUGUUGCCCAGGCUGGAGUGCAGUGGCUCGAUCUUGGCCCACUGCAAUCUCCGCCUCCUGGGUUCAAGCUAUUCUCGUGCCUCAGCCGGGUGCCACCAUGCCCGGCUAAUUUUUGUAUUUUUAGUAGAGACGGGGUUUCACCGUGUUGGCCAGGCUGGUCUCGAACUCCUCACCACAGGUGAUCUGCUCGCCCCAACCUCCCAAAGUGCUGAGAUUACAGGCAUAAGCCACUGUGCCUGGCCUAAUAGAAAAAUCUUCUAAAGACUCUUUAACUGGGGACUUUAUCAAACAUUGCACUUGCUGCUCUGAUAAGAAAGAAGGGAGAUGGGGAAAGUGGUGGGUGCUGGAUGGCAUAUAGCUCCUUGUCUAUGUCCACCUCCUUCCCUUUUGCCUUUAGGAAAGAAGGGCUGGACAACGAUGGAGAGUCCUUGGGAGAGCCAGAAAGAUUUAUCUGGGCUAGCUGGUACAGUGAAGACCAAGCAAAGUGGGAAGCUUUUUGGUUUCCCAAAUUAGUCUCAAUGCUUUGCUCGGGCACGGACAGCAUGUACAGUAGGCAGCAAUCUGCAAAAUUGCAAAGGGGCAUUUUGGCUUUUUGCCCUUCUACUGUGAUUUCUGAAAUCUAGUCACCUUUUCUAAGGUACCCUCUUCCCCAUCUCUGCAACUCAUUCUGUUAUUUCCUCCAUGACAGUUGUCACAACCUGAAACUAUCUGUGCACUUAAUUGUCUGUUUUCUUAUUGUUUCCUACCCUAAUAGAUUGUCAUUUCCACCAGGGCAGGAGCCUGGCCUGUGCUGUUCACCUCUCAUCACCAGCACCUAGACUACUAAUGCCUGGCACAGAGUUGGCCUCAAUGAGAGGGUGUCAAAAGAUAAACGAACCCUUGCUUGCGCCUGGCCUCCUGUCCUCAACUUAUGUUACUGUGGCCUUAUGUUGCCUUGUGGUUAGUCAAAGACCCCCAUCAGUCUUACCCUCCAGCCAGCCAUUGCCAUUGGAUAAACAUUGUGUUUUCCACCCCCAGCUCCAGAGGUGGGCCUUGGUUGAGCUAAGCCAAUCACAGUUUUCUUCUGGCACAGUGUAGAGGUAGACAUGUGAUAUACUUUGAACUUUGUCUAUUCAGAGAAAUGCUCAGAAUUUUGUUCAAUGGUUGAGGAAAGAGAAGAUCCCACCCUAUCCCAGGAGCCAGGAGGCGCACAGCCCUGGGGGCUCUCAGUGGCCACCUCACUUCCACAAGGUCAAAGCCCAUGAGGUCAAAGCUCACACACAGAAGAUGACAAAGUCAAGAGAUUUUCAAAGACAGCAAGCCACAACUCUGAGACUUCAAAAUCCUCUGGCUCAAAUCAACCCCGAGGGCCACCUCUGAAUUUUCCACUUAGAUGAGUUAAUUUGUUCUCUUCCUUUUAAGACUGCCAGAGCCAGGCCAGGUGUGGUGGCUCACGCCUGUAUUCCCAGCGCAUUGGGAGGCCAAGGCGGGUGGAUCACUUGAGAUCAGGAGUUCGAGACCAGUCUGGCCAACAUGGUGAAACCCUGCCUCUACUAAAAAUCCAAAAAAAGUAGCCAGGUGUGGUGGUGUGGGACUGUGGGCUCCGUCUCAAAAAAAAAAAGACUGCCAGGGCGAGGAUUUCCUAAUUGAUACUCAUCCCAUCUGAAGUCCCAGUCGCCCAUUAUAUAUCUCGGCAAACUUUCAUUUAAUUAACAGAAUAAGCAUGAUCUUAAUGAGAUUUAUCUCUUGUGGACAGUAUUUUUACUUAAAAAUGGAAACAAACUGAUCCGAAUUUGUGUUUCAUUGUUAGAAUGUUUUUGAAAUGGAUGUGGAAUAGCAUUGUUCUUUUCCUCCCUCAGCCACCCACAUUGCUAGCUUCCAGGACCACUCUAUCCUGUUCCAAAUUACUGGAAUAAUCCAGACAGCAAAACAGAUAGAAACAGCAUUGCAACCACACAGCUUCCAGCUUCCUGCCUCAUCUUUAUAUGGGAGACUCUCAAGAACAGAAAAAAGUUUUAAAAAGUUUCCUAAAUUUAGGAAGUAGAUGCUUUCUAAUUUUCACUUUAUGGUUGGCCAAGUAUUUUCUUUUUUUUUUUUUUUAAAUAAAGGAAAACAGAACUAUAGCAAAGCCUAACAAUGUCUGUUAAAUGAAUAGAAAAUAGAAUGAGAACAAUUAAUAAGAAAUAAAUUUAAAGAGCUAUGAGAUUUCUGAGGAGAGAAUGGUUACUUCUGGUGUGAAGGGUUAGAAAGAUUUCACAGAAAUUGCAUUUGUGCUAGAUUUUGAUGGAUGGUAAAGAGCAACAGGCAACAGAGAUGAAAGGAGGGAAUGAAACCUUAAAUUAUGUCCAGGAAACUAGGAGUGGCCCAGUUAGACAUGAACACAGGAGAUGUGUUGGUUGGGGGAAGAAGUUACAGAUAAAGUCUGGAAAUGCAGUUUGAGAGCAGACUUGGAGAACUCUGAAACCCUCAAGUCAACUGGCUCAGGGGAAAUCACUGAAGAGUUAUUAGCAAUACAAUGACAUGGCCAGGGUGAGUUGUAGGACACCUUGGUUUGGCAGUGGCCUGAAGCAUGGUCCAGAAGUCACAGAGACCUAAAUUGGGAUACAGAGUGUGAAACUUGAUUAUGCAAAUUGAGCCAUUCUUAUCAUACCCAACUAAGCCAGAGUCGAGGGCCCGGAGUCAGGUGGUAAGCACUCAGGACACAGCAUCUGCUCCAAGAAUUGACUUUUCUGCAAGCCCAGCUGCUAAAAUGGCAAGCUGUAACCUUAAAAACAGUGUCACCUAGUAGCUGCUGAAACGACCCGCCAUGACUCCAAGACUGGUUUUUCCUACCACCAUCACUGACACCCACUAAUCAGAACUUGCCAGCUCCCAGAAGUUUCUCUAGUGCCAGUGAGCUUUCUUCCACAACAAUAUGUAACAUUUCUUUUAUUCAUUUUCCUUUAUUUAUUUGAGACAGGGUCUCAGUCUAUCACCCAGGCUGGAAUGCAGUGCUGCAAUCAUGGCUCACUGCUCACUUGACCUCUCGGACUCAAGUGAGCCUCCCACCUCAGCCUCUGAAGCAGCUGGGACAACAGGUGUGCUCUGCCACACCUGGCUAAUUUAAAUUUUUUUUGUAGAGACAGGUUCUUGCUAUGUUUUCCAGGCUGGUCUCGAACUCCUGGCCUCAAGUGAUCCUCUCACCUUAGCCUUCCAAAGCGCUAGGAUUACAGGCCUAAGCCACUGUCCCUGGCCCACAUUUCUCUUUAUAAUAAAACUCCCAAGCUUCCCUUUUUCAGACAUACCAAAGCCCACCUCAGUCUGUGUGUAUGCCCCAAAUUGCUAUUCUGUGAUUCCCAAAUAAAACAUUUAAUUUAGAG
rnacentral:lncRNA from 1 species